GCAUAUCAAUAAGCGGAGGAAAAGAAACUAACAAGGAUUCCCUUAGUAACGGCGAGUGAAGAGGGAAGAGCUCAAAUUUUAAAUCUAUCAUGUUUGUACAUGAUCGAAUUGUAAUUUGAAGAAGCGUUUUCUCGUACUUUAUGCAAUCAGUAUAAGUUCUCUUGGAACAGGACAUCAUAGAGGGUGAUAAUCCCGUCUGUUACUGGUUGUGAGGUUCGUUAUGAUACGCUUUCAAAGAGUCGAGUUGUUUGGGAUUGCAGCUCCAAAUGGGUGGUAAACAUCACCUAAGGCUAGAUAUUUGCGAGAGACCGAUAGCGAACAAGUACCGUGAGGGAAAGAUGAAAAGAACUUUGAAAAGAGAGUUAAAAAGUAUGUGAAAUUGUUGAAAGGGAAACGAUUGAAGUCAGUCGUGCAGUCAUCAAUUCAGCGGUUAACAUUUUAUGUUUCCGUGUAAUUUGGUGUCUGUUGGUUAGCAUCAAUUUUGAUUGUUAUAAAAAGGUUAAGGGGAUGUGGCUCCUUCGGGAGUGUUAUAACCCUUAGCGUAAUGUGACGAUUAGGAUUGAGGUUUGCAACGAAUACCUUUUAGGGCAGUUUCACCUGGCCUCUCGUGGAAUUAUAGAUAGUUAAGAGCAUGCUCUUACUGUCUAUGAUUCUACGAAAAGGUUGGAGUGUAAAACUAAUUCGUUAAGGAUGUUGACGUA
rnacentral:rRNA from 1 species